rnacentral:tRNA from 1 species
GCGUGUUCUCGCGGUUUCCCGCAUGCUGUCCGUACUAAACCUUUGCCUUCCAAGCAGAUGGUGCGAGUUCGAUUCUCGUCGCCCGCUCCA